GACGAACGCUGGCGGCGUGCUUAACACAUGCCAGUCGAAUGGAAAGGCCCUGCUUUUGUGGGGUGCUCGAGUGGCGAACGGGUAAGUAACACGUGAGUAACCUGCCCUUGACUUUGGGAUAACUUCAGGAAACUGGGGCUAAUACCGGAUAGGAGCUCCUGCUGCAUGGUGGGGGUUGGAAAGUUUCGGCGGUUGGGGAUGGACUCGCGGCUUAUCAGCUUGUUGGUGGGGUAGUGGCUUACCAAGGCUUUGACGGGUAGCCGGCCUGAGAGGGUGACCAGCCACAUUGGGACUGAGAUACGGCCCAGACUCCUACGGGAGGCAGCAGUGGGGAAUAUUGCACAAUGGGCGGAAGCCUGAUGCAGCAACGCCGCGUGCGGGAUGACGGCCUUCGGGUUGUAAACCGCUUUCGCCUGUGACGAAGCGUGAGUGACGGUAAUGGGUAAAGAAGCACCGGCUAACUACGUG
rnacentral:rRNA from 1 species